rnacentral:rRNA from 1 species
UACAGAGGGUGCGAGCGUUGUUCGGAAUUAUUGGGCGUAAAGGGCGUGUAGGCGGCAGACCAAGUCGGCGGUGAAAGCGCCCGGCUCAACUGGGCGAGGUCCGUGGAAACUGGUCAGCUGGAGGACGGUAGAGGCGAGUGGAAUUCCCGGUGUAGUGGUGAAAUGCGUAGAGAUCGGGAGGAACACCAGUGGCGAAGGCGGCGACCUGGGCCAAUAUUGACGCUGAGGUGCGAAAGCGUGGGGAGCAAACAGG